GACGAACGCUGGCGGCGUGCCUAAUACAUGCAAGUAGGACGCAGGUGCGAAGGGGUGAGUAACGCGUAGGUAACUACCUAUUAGAGGGGGAUAACUAUUGGAAACGAUAGCUAAUACCGCAUACUAGUAGAUGGACCUGCGUUGUAUUAGCUAGUAGGUAGGGUAAUGGCCUACCUAGGCAACGAUACAGCGCCGACCUGGGAGGGUGAGCGGCCACACUGGGACUGGGACACGGCCCCGACUCCCUCGGGAGGCAGCAGUAGGGCAACUUCGGCCAUGGGGGGAACCCUGACCGAGCAACGCCGCGUGAGGUAAGAGGGUUUUCGGAUCGUGAAGCUCUGUUGUUUAGGAAGCGGUACUUACCCAGAAAGGGACGGCUAACUACGUGCCAGCAGCCGCGGUAAUAC
rnacentral:rRNA from 1 species